UAUAAGGUCACACAGGGGUUGAAUAGUUGUUCUCAUCGGCUUAAACUGCAGAUUAUCACGUAUCAUUUAAGUCUAUAGCUCUAAUGCCUGUCCCAGACAGGUGUUGCAUAUCAUUUUCACAAGCUAAUAGCACUCCACUUGCGUUUCUGUGUGGCUUCUGUUUAUUGGCUUAGUUGCAGUAUCAAAUCCUGUCAAGGAUUCCAGGAGGGGGUAAAGUACAUUACUUUAGUACCUGAAGAGGACUGGGUGUCUCAGAAUAGAUCCAGACCACUUCAGCCUAACAUAAUUUCUCCAUCCUAUUUUCAUCCAUCUUAACUUCACCUCAACCUCUACUCAACUCAAAUUUGAUUGGUCACAUACACGUGGUUAGCAUCCCUCAUCCCUCUCUUUCUCCUGAUAGUUACCCCUUUCUUCUUUGUUCCAAACUCCCAAACCUCAACCCUUUCCAGCCUCAUCCCUCUCCCCUGGCAACUGCCCCACCCCACAACUACCCUCCACCAUCAUGGGGCUUCAUCCCCUCAUGAUUUUCAUUGUCUCCUUCAACCUCUUAAUCACCAUCAUAGAGUGGACUUGGCUCUUGUCUAGGAUUCUCAGGGUUGAAGAUGAAGAUGUCUCUCCAGAAUGACAAAGAAACAUAGCCCUACCUUCUUAAGCUCUCGUCCCAACUCCACUGAGUAGAAAAAACAUUUUCCUAAUAGUGUACUCUCUGUGUCUGUCUUCAUGGUUGCUUCCAGGAUUCCAUGCUUGCUUUGAUUUACAGAGCAAUUCUGCAUGCUACAAGUGUUUCCAUCCAGGAUUACAGAGAACUUUCUAGACUUUCUCUCAGCGACAACAUAGCUGAGGGGAAGCUACACAUCAAGUUUGUAAGAGUACAAUGGUACACAGAGUGGAUCUACUCAUAGAAACCUCAUAGAAACCAAGUACUUUACCUCCUCAAAGACUAUACAGACUCAUCAAGGCGAUACAGACAGAUCUGCUUCGUACAUAACGUCUGCAGUCUGCGCAUCAUCCAUUUACUGUGUACCCCACCGCAUCUCACUAUACCAAUAGCGUACUUCACCAAUCAAACCAUGGGCUAUCAGCUGCCCCCGACCCAUGCACAAAACAUCCCAGAACUGGUCGCAGUGGCCUGGAACCUCACACAGCUGAACUUUGAACCCCGCCAGCUCCUCCAGGCUUCCGUGAUUGGACAGGAGGAGGACGAGAAAGAGUAUUUCAUAAACUACGUCCCGCCUUCUCGCGAUGCCAUCGAGCUGCCUCGCCAUGUUGUUUAUAUACUUAUAGGAGUGGUGUUGGUGGUAGUCGCUACCUACGCCAUAGUGGGUCACCUGAUCAAGGACCUGAUGCAUGACCUAGCAGGUAACCUGGGACUCCUUCUAUCUGCUACCAUCUGAAGGUUUUACCACUUGGUGUCACCGUGUGUCAUCGUCCUAAUUCCCUAUCAUGUGACGUGAGUCAUUGUUUGAUCAUCUGACUGUCUUUCCCUUCUUGGAUGGCCACUGGUUCAGUGAGUCAACAUGAUGUUGACUGUUGAUGUCAUCUAUGCCAUGAAAAUCUUUGUGUGUUCUGACCUUCCCUCCAUUUUGCACCUGUUGUGGGUACAAAGCUGCAGUGUAUUCCCUGAGGUCAUCUCUAUGGCUGUCAGUGUGUCAUCAAGCUCAAGAGUGCGAAUAUGAAAACGUACUGGUCUGUUGGUGGCAUUUCAUAAACCACCUAAAAUAUUAUAUAGCCUAAGUGCACAAAAUGCUAUAUUUAAGCAAUAAGGCACGUAUGGUAUAUUGGCCAAACCCCAGUGGUGACUUAUUGCUAUUAUAAACUGUUUACCAACGUAAUUAGAACGGUAGUAUAUGGUCUCAGAUACUGCGGCUUUCAGACAUUCAGCAUUCAGAGCUUGACCCACCAAGUUUAUGAUGUAAAAUAACCUA